UGGCGGCAGGCCUACACAUGCAAGUCGAGCGGUAGAGAGGUGCUUGCACCUCUUGAGAGCGGCGGACGGGUGAGUAAUGCCUAGGAAUCUGCCUGGUAGUGGGGGAUAACGCUCGGAAACGGACGCUAAUACCGCAUACGUCCUACGGGAGAAAGCAGGGGACCUUCGGGCCUUGCGCUAUCAGAUGAGCCUAGGUCGGAUUAGCUAGUUGGUGAGGUAAUGGCUCACCAAGGCGACGAUCCGUAACUGGUCUGAGAGGAUGAUCAGUCACACUGGAACUGAGACACGGUCCAGACUCCUACGGGAGGCAGCAGUGGGGAAUAUUGGACAAUGGGCGAAAGCCUGAUCCAGCCAUGCCGCGUGUGUGAAGAAGGUCUUCGGAUUGUAAAGCACUUUAAGUUGGGAGGAAGGGCAUUAACCUAAUACGUUAGUGUUUUGACGUUACCGACAGAAUAAGCACCGGCUAACUCUGUGCCAGCA
rnacentral:rRNA from 1 species